rnacentral:rRNA from 1 species
CGGCAACAGCUCAAAUUUGAAAUCUGGCCUCUUUGGGGUCCGAGUUGUAAUUUGGAGAGGAUGUUUCGGGCACGACCCGGGCUUAAAUUUCUUGGAACAGAAUGUCACAGAGGGUGAGAAUCCCGUCUGGAGUCCGCGGUACGACCUAUGUGAAACUCCUUCGAC